AUGAACGCUAGCGACAGGCUUAACACAUGCAAGUCGAGGGGCAGCACAGGUAGCAAUACCGGGUGGCGACCGGCGCACGGGUGAGUAACGCGUAUGCAACUUGCCUAUCAGAGGGGGAUAACCCGGCGAAAGUCGGACUAAUACCGCAUGAAGCAGGGGCCCCGCAUGGGGAUAUUUGCUAAAGAUUCAUCGCUGAUAGAUAGGCAUGCGUUCCAUUAGGCAGUUGGCGGGGUAACGGCCCACCAAACCGACGAUGGAUAGGGGUUCUGAGAGGAAGGUCCCCCACAUUGGUACUGAGACACGGACCAAACUCCUACGGGAGGCAGCAGUGAGGAAUAUUGGUCAAUGGCCGAGAGGCUGAACCAGCCAAGUCGCGUGAGGGAUGAAGGUUCUAUGGAUCGUAAACCUCUUUUAUAAGGGAAUAAAGUGCGGGACGUGUCCCGUUUUGUAUGUACCUUAUGAAUAAGGAUCGGCUAACUCCGUGCCAGCAGCCGCGGUAAUACGGAGGAUCCGAGCGUUAUCCGGAUUUAUUGGGUUUAAAGGGUGCGUAGGCGGCCUUUUAAGUCAGCGGUGAAAGUCUGUGGCUCAACCAUAGAAUUGCCGUUGAAACUGGGGGGCUUGAGUAUGUUUGAGGCAGGCGGAAUGCGUGGUGUAGCGGUGAAAUGCAUAGAUAUCACGCAGAACCCCGAUUGCGAGGGCAGCCUGCCAAGCCAUUACUGACGCUGAUGCACGAAAGCGUGGGGAUCAAACAGGAUUAGAUACCCUGGUAGUCCACGCAGUAAACGAUGAUCACUAGCUGUUUGCGAUACACUGUAAGCGGCACAGCGAAAGCGUUAAGUGAUCCACCUGGGGAGUACGCCGGCAACGGUGAAACUCAAAGGAAUUGACGGGGGCCCGCACAAGCGGAGGAACAUGUGGUUUAAUUCGAUGAUACGCGAGGAACCUUACCCGGGUUUGAACGCAUUCGGACCGAGGUGGAAACACCUUUUCUAGCAAUAGCCGUUUGCGAGGUGCUGCAUGGUUGUCGUCAGCUCGUGCCGUGAGGUGUCGGCUUAAGUGCCAUAACGAGCGCAACCCUUGCCACUAGUUACUAACAGGUAAAGCUGAGGACUCUGGUGGGACUGCCAGCGUAAGCUGCGAGGAAGGCGGGGAUGACGUCAAAUCAGCACGGCCCUUACAUCCGGGGCGACACACGUGUUACAAUGGCGUGGACAAAGGGAAGCCACCUGGCGACAGGGAGCGAAUCCCCAAACCACGUCUCAGUUCGGAUCGGAGUCUGCAACCCGACUCCGUGAAGCUGGAUUCGCUAGUAAUCGCGCAUCAGCCAUGGCGCGGUGAAUACGUUCCCGGGCCUUGUACACACCGCCCGUCAAGCCAUGGGAGCCGGGGGUACCUGAAGUCCGUAACCGCGAGGAUCGGCCUAGGGUAAAACUGGUGACUGGGGCU
rnacentral:rRNA from 1 species